rnacentral:rRNA from 1 species
AGGGUUCCUGUCCAACGUUAAUCGGGGCAGGGUGAGUCGACCCCUAAGGCGAGGCCGAAAGGCGUAGUCGAUGGGAAACAGGUUAAUAUUCCUGUACUUGGUGUUACUGCGAAGGGGGGACGGAGAAGGCUAUGUUGGCCGGGCGACGGUUGUCCCGGUUUAAGCGUGUAGGCUGGUUUUCCAGGCAAAUCCGGAAAACCAAGGCUGAGGCGUGAUGACGAGGCACUACGGUGCUGAAGCGACAAAUGCCCUGCUUCCAGGAAAAGCCUCUAAGCAUCAGGUAACAUCAAAUCGUACCCCAAACCGACACAGGUGGUCAGGUAGAGAAUACCAAGGCGCUUGAGAGAACUCGGGUGAAGGAACUAGGCAAAAUGGUGCCGUAACUUCGGGAGAAGGCACGCUGAUAUGUAGGUGAAGCGACUUGCUCGUGGAGCUGAAAUCAGUCGAAGAUACCAGCUGGCUGCAACUGUUUAUUAAAAACACAGCACUGUGCAAACACGAAAGUGGACGUAUACGGUGUGACGCCUGCCCGGUGCCGGAAGGUUAAUUGAUGGGGUUAGCGGCAACGCGAAGCUCUUGAUCGAAGCCCCGGUAAACGGCGGCCGUAACUAUAACGGUCCUAAGGUAGCGAAAUUCCUUGUCGGGUAAGUUCCGACCUGCACGAAUGGCGUAAUGAUGGCCAGGCUGUCUCCACCCGAGACUCAGUGAAAUUGAACUCGCUGUGAAGAUGCAGUGUACCCGCGGCAAGACGGAAAGACCCCGUGAACCUUUACUAUAGCUUGACACUGAACAUUGAGCCUUGAUGUGUAGGAUAGGUGGGAGGCUUUGAAGUGUGGACGCCAGUCUGCAUGGAGCCGACCUUGAAAUACCACCCUUUAAUGUUUGAUGUUCUAACGUUGGCCCCUAAUCGGGGUUGCGGACAGUGUCUGGUGGGUAGUUUGACUGGGGCGGUCUCCUCCUAAAGAGUAACGGAGGAGCACGAAGGUUGGCUAAUCCUGGUCGGACAUCAGGAGGUUAGUGCAAUGGCAUAAGCCAGCUUGACUGCGAGCGUGACGGCGCGAGCAGGUGCGAAAGCAGGUCAUAGUGAUCCGGUGGUUCUGAAUGGAAGGGCCAUCGCUCAACGGAUAAAAGGUACUCCGGGGAUAACAGGCUGAUACCGCCCAAGAGUUCAUAUCGACGGCGGUGUUUGGCACCUCGAUGUCGGCUCAUCACAUCCUGGGGCUGAAGUAGGUCCCAAGGGUAUGGCUGUUCGCCAUUUAAAGUGGUACGCGAGCUGGGUUUAGAACGUCGUGAGACAGUUCGGUCCCUAUCUGCCGUG